UACGGAGUUACAAAGGACGACAUUAGACGAAUCAUCUGGAAAGAUGAAUCAAAGAAGGUAAUAAUCCUGUAGUCGAAAAUGUUGUCUCUCUUGAGUGGAUCCUGAGUACGACGGAGCACGUGAAAUUCCGUCGGAAUCUGGGAGGACCAUCUCCUAAGGCUAAAUACUCUCUAGUGACCGAUAGUGAACCAGUACCGUGAGGGAAAGGUGAAAAGCACCCCGGAAGGAGAGUGAAAUAGAACCUGAAACCGUGUGCUUACAAGUAGUCAGAGCCCGUUAAUGGGUGAUGGCGUGCCUUUUGUAGAAUGAACCGGCGAGUUACGAUUUGAUGCAAGGUUAAGCAGUAAAUGUGGAGCCGUAGCGAAAGCGAGUCUGAAUAGGGCGUUUAGUAUUUGGUCGUAGACCCGAAACCAGGUGAUCUACCCUUGGUCAGGUUGAAGUUCAGGUAACACUGAAUGGAGGACCGAACCGACUUACGUUGAAAAGUGAGCGGAUGAACUGAGGGUAGCGGAGAAAUUCCAAUCGAACCUGGAGAUAGCUGGUUCUCUCCGAAAUAGCUUUAGGGCUAGCCUCAAGUGAUGAUUAUUGGAGGUAGAGCACUGUUUGGACGAGGGGCCCCUCUCGGGUUACCGAAUUCAGACAAACUCCGAAUGCCAAUUAAUUUAACUUGGGAGUCAGAACAUGGGUGAUAAGGUCCGUGUUCGAAAGGGAAACAGCCCAGACCACCAGCUAAGGUCCCAAAAUAUAUGUUAAGUGGAAAAGGAUGUGGCGUUGCCCAGACAACUAGGAUGUUGGCUUAGAAGCAGCCAUCAUUUAAAGAGUGCGUAAUAGCUCACUAGUCGAGUGACACUGCGCCGAAAAUGUACCGGGGCUAAACAUAUUACCGAAGCUGUGGAUUGUCCUUUGGACAAUGGUAGGAGAGCGUUCUAAGGGCGUUGAAGCAUGAUCGUAAGGACAUGUGGAGCGCUUAGAAGUGAGAAUGCCGGUGUGAGUAGCGAAAGACGGGUGAGAAUCCCGUCCACCGAUUGACUAAGGUUUCCAGAGGAAGGCUCGUCCGCUCUGGGUUAGUCGGGUCCUAAGCUGAGGCCGACAGGCGUAGGCGAUGGAUAACAGGUUGAUAUUCCUGUACCACCUAUAAUCGUUUUAAUCGAUGGGGGGACGCAGUAGGAUAGGCGAAGCGUGCGAUUGGAUUGCACGUCUAAGCAGUAAGGCUGAGUAUUAGGCAAAUCCGGUACUCGUUAAGGCUGAGCUGUGAUGGGGAGAAGACAUUGAGUCUUCGAGUCGUUGAUUUCACACUGCCGAGAAAAGCCUCUAGAUAGAAAAUAGGUGCCCGUACCGCAAACCGACACAGGUAGUCAAGAUGAGAAUUCUAAGGUGAGCGAGCGAACUCUCGUUAAGGAACUCGGCAAAAUGACCCCGUAACUUCGGGAGAAGGGGUGCUCUUUAGGGUUAACGCCCAGAAGAGCCGCAGUGAAUAGGCCCAAGCGACUGUUUAUCAAAAACACAGGUCUCUGCUAAACCGUAAGGUGAUGUAUAGGGGCUGACGCCUGCCCGGUGCUGGAAGGUUAAGAGGAGUGGUUAGCUUCUGCGAAGCUACGAAUCGAAGCCCCAGUAAACGGCGGCCGUAACUAUAACGGUCCUAAGGUAGCGAAAUUCCUUGUCGGGUAAGUUCCGACCCGCACGAAAGGCGUAACGAUUUGGGCACUGUCUCAACGAGAGACUCGGUGAAAUCAUAGUACCUGUGAAGAUGCAGGUUACCCGCGACAGGACGGAAAGACCCCGUGGAGCUUUACUGUAGCCUGAUAUUGAAAUUCGGCACAGCUUGUACAGGAUAGGUAGGAGCCUUUGAAACGUGAGCGCUAGCUUACGUGGAGGCGCUGGUGGGAUACUACCCUAGCUGUGUUGGCUUUCUAACCCGCACCACUUAUCGUGGUGGGAGACAGUGUCAAGCGGGCAGUUUGACUGGGGCGGUCGCCUCCUAAAAGGUAACGGAGGCGCUCAAAGGUUCCCUCAGAAUGGUUGGAAAUCAUUCAUAGAGUGUAAAGGCAUAAGGGAGCUUGACUGCGAGACCUACAAGUCGAGCAGGGUCGAAAGACGGACUUAGUGAUCCGGUGGUUCCGCAUGGAAGGGCCAUCGCUCAACGGAUAAAAGCUACCCCGGGGAUAACAGGCUUAUCUCCCCCAAGAGUUCACAUCGACGGGGAGGUUUGGCACCUCGAUGUCGGCUCAUCGCAUCCUGGGGCUGUAGUCGGUCCCAAGGGUUGGGCUGUUCGCCCAUUAAAGCGGUACGCGAGCUGGGUUCAGAACGUCGUGAGACAGUUCGGUCCCUAUCCGUCGUGGGCGUAGGAAAUUUGAGAGGAGCUGUCCUUAGUACGAGAGGACCGGGAUGGACAUACCUCUGGUGUACCAGUUGUCGUGCCAACGGCAUAGCUGGGUAGCUAUGUGUGGACGGGAUAAGUGCUGAAAGCAUCUAAGCAUGAAGCCCCCCUCAAGAUGAGAUUUCCCAACUUCGGUUAUAAGAUCCCUCAAAGAUGAUGAGGUUAAUAGGUUCGAGGUGGAAGCAUGGUGACAUGUGGAGCUGACGAAUACUAAUCGAUCGAAGACUUAAUCAA
rnacentral:rRNA from 2 species